UCCCGACCCGAGUUCCUCACCUCUCCCGAACCUUUUCCUUUCUUCCCUUCUUCCUCUGUUCUUUCUGUUCUUUCUCGCGGACAACACUAAGGCGACGGGCAACAGAGUUCUACCUCCGAUGAUCGUCGACGUCGACUGGUAGCAUGUCGACGGAGCUUGCUAGAGAUCGAAGCCCGGAUCAUCCUGAUCUCUUCUUCUUCUCAACUCUUUCCACCCGAGCCCUAGGUUUUUCCGUCGCCGAGUCCUCCCUCUCCUCUCUCACGCGACGCCGACACUGCCGAGCUCUCCCUUCCUUCGCAAAGCCAUCAUCACCUUGGCUUGAGGAUAGAUCGACAACGCCGUUGAUCGAUCGAGGGAGUGCGUAGGUUCCCUGUGCUCCGAUUUCCCCUGGAUCGUCGCCGGCGUCUGAGGUAUAGCCGUGCCCUAAUUUUUGUUCUGGUGCCGUGGGAUCAAGCUAGAGCCAUCCGAUUGCCGGCGUGAGGUUGCCUUAGGGCUUCGAAGUUCUAUGAUGGCAAUUGUUACCUGCUUGAUUAGAUUGCAAUUCGGGCACGUCAUCAUACACUUUAAGGAUCACAAGGAGAGGAUUGUGCAAUGGAUGAUUGCUUCCUUUUGUCUAUUAGCAUUAGCUUUUUCAUUAGACUUCUAUGGUACCCACGACAUUGUCUUUCUUCCUAUUAUGUCGAUUUGAUUUUUUUGUUGCUCAGAUAUUCCCAACCAAUUGGAGUUGGUAAUCCUUGGUGUAGGCAUGCAUAUGAACAAGGCUUUAUACACACCAAGUUAUACCUGCAUCACUGCUGGGAUUGCUGGGGUCAUGUUCACUGGGGUUUAUGUGCUGGUUGACAUCUAUGGCUACAGGAAGCCAACCUUGGUCAUGGAAUGGCUAGGGAUGCAUGCAUUGAUGGUCUACAUUCUAUUAGGUUGCAACAUCUUCCCUUUAUUUGCCCAAGGAUUCUACUUGAGGGAGCCUGAGAACAAUAUAGUAAGUAAAUAAAACCCAACCAUUAAACCCUUCCAUUGCUAUAGAUUGUGUUGGCCUUUUGUUUUCACUUGGUAUAUGCACAGUUGAAGGUCAUUGGCAUUUCCUAAACAUCAUUUAUCUCGUUCACCGCAUCAUCCUUACCUGGAAAGAAUUUCAAUCAAUGGUAAGAGAUGUCAAAGGAUCUAAUGAAUGAGGAAAAGGAGAAUGCUUGAAAUUAUAUCAGUAUACUUUAUCUAAGUGAUUGUUUGAAUAGUUUUAUAGCAUGCAUCUUGACAAUUAAUAUAAUUUUGAAGAUCACUAUCAAGGAAGAAUGUUCAAAGGAAAGUAAAGGCUAAGGAGAAGAAACCAUAUACUCCUUUCCCUCCUCAGCUACCAAGCAAGGUGAAGUUAUUGUUACAAUCUGUGAACAUUAAAUCUCAUAUUAGACCUUCACACUUUAGAUCAUUAGUCCUUUUAUUUUCCUUUACUAGUUUGAGAAAAAAGAAUUUACUUUUUGUUGUAUUGCAAUAUCUGCAGUGCUGCCUCUUCAUCGACAUCUAAGUAGAAAAUCUCAUUCAUUUCCUCCAUUCAUUUCCUUCCUCAUUUUCUUAAUUAAAAAUGUUUAUAGUCUACCUUUGAUGUAAUCACCCACGCAUAUUCUAUGCUUGCAGUUAAUGUAUUUGUUCUUUGGUCUUAUUUCUAAAGUCCAUUUCUUCCUCUUAGGAACAUCAUGUGUUGACAAGUAAUGACCCUAUUAAUAUUUCAGUUUCUAUACAUGGUGAUCUAGAAAAGCUUACACUUCUUACUUCUCUAAAUCUAGAAUUAAAUCGUAAGUUAGAUUAAAUUACAGUUACUUUAUCAUUUCUUAAUUUUUUUUCUAACUUACAUUUGCAAUAUUUGCAUCUCGAUUCACUCGAUUAUGUUCACUUUGUAUUCAACAUGAAGCUAAAAGGUGUUUUGUACAUAUUAAAGACUCUGGUGGUUUUUUUAGUUUCAAUCUACUGCUCUUUUUAGCAUCUUUAUCCUGCUAUAAUGUUAUUCUUUAAGAUUAUGUUGCAUUGAUUUCUAAAAGUUGCAUGACAUCUCUCUACUCUGCCUUCAAAACUAACGAUUUAUGUUGUUUCAGGUAAUUACUGUAGCCAUUCCUACUAUUGUUUCAAGAGGUUACCAUUUAUGUUACAUAGAUAACGUUUUUUGCACUUCUGUUAGAUGACUAUAUCAAAUGGUUUUUAUGGUUAUGUAACAUUUAUGCAGUGCAAUUAGAAUCAC